UGCGAAUGCUGACAUAAGUAACGAUAAAGCGGGUGAAAAGCCCGCUCGCCGGAAGACCAAGGGUUCCUGUCCAACGUUAAUCGGGGCAGGGUGAGUCGACCCCUAAGGCGAGGCCGAAAGGCGUAGUCGAUGGGAAACAGGUUAAUAUUCCUGUACUUGGUGUUACUGCGAAGGGGGGACGGAGAAGGCUAUGUUGGCCGGGCGACGGUUGUCCCGGUUUAAGCGUGUAGGCUGGUUUUCCAGGCAAAUCCGGAAAAUCAAGGCUGAGGCGUGAUGACGAGGCACUACGGUGCUGAAGCAACAAAUGCCCUGCUUCCAGGAAAAGCCUCUAAGCAUCAGGUAACAUCAAAUCGUACCCCAAACCGACACAGGUGGUCAGGUAGAGAAUACCAAGGCGCUUGAGAGAACUCGGGUGAAGGAACUAGGCAAAAUGGUGCCGUAACUUCGGGAGAAGGCACGCUGAUAUGUAGGUGAAGUCCCUCGCGGAUGGAGCUGAAAUCAGUCGAAGAUACCAGCUGGCUGCAACUGUUUAUUAAAAACACAGCACUGUGCAAACACGAAAGUGGACGUAUACGGUGUGACGCCUGCCCGGUGCCGGAAGGUUAAUUGAUGGGGUCAGCGCAAGCGAAGCUCUUGAUCGAAGCCCCGGUAAACGGCGGCCGUAACUAUAACGGUCCUAAGGUAGCGAAAUUCCUUGUCGGGUAAGUUCCGACCUGCACGAAUGGCGUAAUGAUGGCCAGGCUGUCUCCACCCGAGACUCAGUGAAAUUGAACUCGCUGUGAAGAUGCAGUGUACCCGCGGCAAGACGGAAAGACCCCGUGAACCUUUACUAUAGCUUGACACUGAACAUUGAGCCUUGAUGUGUAGGAUAGGUGGGAGGCUUUGAAGUGUGGACGCCAGUCUGCAUGGAGCCGACCUUGAAAUACCACCCUUUAAUGUUUGAUGUUCUAACGUGGACCCGUGAUCCGGGUUGCGGACAGUGUCUGGUGGGUAGUUUGACUGGGGCGGUCUCCUCCUAAAGAGUAACGGAGGAGCACGAAGGUUGGCUAAUCCUGGUCGGACAUCAGGAGGUUAGUGCAAUGGCAUAAGCCAGCUUGACUGCGAGCGUGACGGCGCGAGCAGGUGCGAAAGCAGGUCAUAGUGAUCCGGUGGUUCUGAAUGGAAGGGCCAUCGCUCAACGGAUAAAAGGUACUCCGGGGAUAACAGGCUGAUACCGCCCAAGAGUUCAUAUCGACGGCGGUGUUUGGCACCUCGAUGUCGGCUCAUCACAUCCUGGGGCUGAAGUAGGUCCCAAGGGUAUGGCUGUUCGCCAUUUAAAGUGGUACGCGAGCUGGGUUUAGAACGUCGUGAGACAGUUCGGUCCCUAUCUGCCGUGGGCGCUGGAGAACUGAGGGGGGCUGCUCCUAGUACGAGAGGACCGGAGUGGACGCAUCACUGGUGUUCGGGUUGUCAUGCCAAUGGCACUGCCCGGUAGCUAAAUGCGGAAGAGAUAAGUGCUGAAAGCAUCUAAGCACGAAACUUGCCCCGAGAUGAGUUCUCCCUGACCCUUUAAGGGUCCUGAAGGAACGUUGAAGACGACGACGUUGAUAGGCCGGGUGUGUAAGCGCAGCGAUGCGUUGAGCUAACCGGUACUAAUGAACCGUGAGGCUUAACCUUACAACGCCGAAGGUGUUU
rnacentral:rRNA from 1 species